rnacentral:rRNA from 1 species
CCUACGGGCGGCAGCAGUGGGGGAUAUUGGACAAUGGGGGGAACCCUGAUCCAGCGACGCCGCGUGAGUGAAGAAGUAUUUCGGUAUGUAAAGCUCUGUCAGCAGGGAAGAAAGAAAUGACGGUACCUGACCAAGAAGCCCCGGCUAACUACGUGCCAGCAGCCGCGGUAAUACGUAGGGGGCAAGCGUUAUCCGGAAUUACUGGGUGUAAAGGGGGCGUAGACGGUUAAGUAAGUCUGGAGUGAAAGGCCGGGGCCCAACCCCGGGACUGCUCUGGAAACUAUUGAACUUGAGUGCAGGAGAGGUAAGCGGAAUGCCUAGGGUAGCGGUGAAAUGCGUAGAUAUUAGGAGGAACACCAGUGGCGAAGGCGGCUUACUGGACUGUAACUGACGUUGAGGCUCGAAAGCGUGGGGAGCAAACAGGAUUAGAUACCCGAGUAGUC